GGGGAAUAUUGCACAAUGGACGAAAGUCUGAUGCAGCAACGCCGCGUGGAGGAUGACACAUUUCGGUGCGUAAACUCCUUUUAUAUAGGAAGAUAAUGACGGUACUAUAUGAAUAAGCACCGGCUAACUCCGUGCCAGCAGCCGCGGUAAUACGGAGGGUGCAAGCGUUACUCGGAAUCACUGGGCGUAAAGAGCGUGUAGGCGGGUAUAUAAGUCAGAAGUGAAAUCCAAUAGCUUAACUAUUGAACUGCUUUUGAAACUGUAUACCUAGAAUGUGGGAGAGGUAGAUGGAAUGUGUAGUGUAGCGGUGAAAUGCUUAGAUAUUACGCAGAACACCAAUUGCGAAGGCAGGUCACUAAGUAUCAACUGACGCUGAUGGACGAAAGCGUGGGGAGCGAACA
rnacentral:rRNA from 1 species